GAGCUUGCUCCUUGAUUCAGCGGCGGACGGGUGAGUAAUGCCUAGGAAUCUGCCUGGUAGUGGGGGACAACGUUUCGAAAGGAGCGCUAAUACCGCAUACGUCCUACGGGAGAAAGCAGGGGACCUUCGGGCCUUGCGCUAUCAGAUGAGCCUAGGUCGGAUUAGCUAGUUGGUGGGGUAAUGGCUCACCAAGGCGACGAUCCGUAACUGGUCUGAGAGGAUGAUCAGUCACACUGGAACUGAGACACGGUCCAGACUCCUACGGGAGGCAGCAGUGGGGAAUAUUGGACAAUGGGCGAAAGCCUGAUCCAGCCAUGCCGCGUGUGUGAAGAAGGUCUUCGGAUUGUAAAGCACUUUAAGUUGGGAGGAAGGGCAGUAAGUUAAUACCUUGCUGUUUUGACGUUACCGACAGAAUAAGCACCGGCUAACUCUGUGCCAGCAGCCGCGGUAAUACAGAGGGUGCAAGCGUUAAUCGGAAUUACUGGGCGUAAAGCGCGCGUAGAUGGUUUGUUAAGUUGGAUGUGAAAGCCCCGGGCUCAACCUGGGAACUGCAUCCAAAACUGGCAAGCUAGAGUACGGUAGAGGGUGGUGGAAUUUCCUGUGUAGCGGUGAAAUGCGUAGAUAUAGGAAGGAACACCAGUGGCGAAGGCGACCACCUGGACUGAUA
rnacentral:rRNA from 1 species